rnacentral:rRNA from 1 species
UACGUAGGUGGCAAGCGUUGUCCGGAAUUAUUGGGCGUAAAGCGCGCGCAGGUGGUUUCUUAAGUCUGAUGUGAAAGCCCACGGCUCAACCGUGGAGGGUCAUUGGAAACUGGGGAACUUGAGUGCAGGAGAGAAGAGUGGAAUUUCCACGUGUAGCGGUGAAAUGCGUAGAGAUGUGGAGGAACACCAGUGGCGAAGGCGACUCUUUGGCCUGUAACUGACACUGAGGCGCGAAAAGCGUGGGGGA